AUUGAACGCUGGCGGCAUGCCUUACACAUGCAAGUCGAACGGCAGCAUGAUCUAGCUUGCUCGAUUGAUGGCGAGUGGCGAACGGGUGAGUCAUACAUCGGAACGUGCCCUGUAGUGGGGGAUAACUAGUCGAAAGAUUAGCUAAUACCGCAUACGACCUGAGGGUGAAAGUGGGGGACUGCAAGGCCUCAUGCUAUAGGAGUGGCCGAUGUCUGAUUAGCCAGUUGGUGAGGUAGAGGCUCACCAAGGCGACGAUCAGUAGCUGGUCUGAGAGGACGAUCAGCCACACUGGGACUGAGACACGGCCGAGACUCAUACGAGAGGCAGGAAUGGGUAAUUUUGGAAAGUGGGCGAAAGCCUGAUCCAGCAAUGACGCGUGUGUGAAGAAGGCCUUCGGGUUGUAAAGCACUUUUGUCCGAAAAAAAAUGGCUCUGGUUAAUACCUGGGGUCGAUGACUGUACAGGAAGAAUAAGGACCGGCUAUCCACG
rnacentral:rRNA from 1 species